GGUAUCAGAAGUGCGAAUGCUGACAUAAGUAACGAUAAAGCGGGUGAAAAGCCCGCUCGCCGGAAGACCAAGGGUUCCUGUCCAACGUUAAUCGGGGCAGGGUGAGUCGACCCCUAAGGCGAGGCCGAAAGGCGUAGUCGAUGGGAAACGGGUUAAUAUUCCCGUACUUGGUGUUACUGCGAAGGGGGGACGGAGAAGGCUAUGUUGGCCGGGCGACGGUUGUCCCGGUUUAAGCGUGUAGGCUGGUUUUCCAGGCAAAUCCGGAAAAUCAAGGCUGAGGCGUGAUGACGAGGCACUACGGUGCUGAAGCAACAAAUGCCCUGCUUCCAGGAAAAGCCUCUAAGCAUCAGGUAACAUCAAAUCGUACCCCAAACCGACACAGGUGGUCAGGUAGAGAAUACCAAGGCGCUUGAGAGAACUCGGGUGAAGGAACUAGGCAAAAUGGUGCCGUAACU
rnacentral:rRNA from 1 species